rnacentral:snRNA from 1 species
GGAUGCUAACGCAAUGUG